GGAACAUGGUGGCAUGCAGCAGGAGGAUGCUGGAGGAACAUGGUGGCAGGUAGCAGGAGGAACAUGGCCACAAGCAGCAGGAGGAUGCUGGAGGAACAUGGCCACAGGCAGCAGGAGGAUGCUGGAGGAACAUGGCGGCAGGCAGCAGGAGGAACAUGGUGGCAGGCAGCAGGAGGAUGCUGGAGGAACAUGGUGACAUGCAGCAGGA
rnacentral:lncRNA from 1 species